rfam:Bradyrhizobium sp. S23321 DNA, complete genome.
AUCUGGAGAGAGACGGCACGAUUUGAAAGUCGUGACGUCCACCGAAGGGGAUAGUCCGGAGCUGACCUUACGGGGUCUGCGCCGGGUCAAGCUCUCAGGUAACCGUGACAGAU